rnacentral:rRNA from 1 species
GGCAGUCAGAGGCGAUGAAGGACGUACUAACUUGCGAUAAGCGCAGAUAAGGCAGUAAGAGCCGUUUGAGUCUGCGAUUUCCGAAUGGGGAAACCCAACUGCAUAAGCAGUUACUGUUAACUGAAUACAUAGGUUAACAGAGCAAACCGGGGGAACUGAAACAUCUAAGUACCCCGAGGAGAAGAAAUCAACCGAGAUUCCGGUAGUAGCGGCGAGCGAACCUGGAUUAGCCCUUAAGCACUCGGUGAAGUAGGUGAACAAGCUGGAAAGCUUGGCGAUACAGGGUGAUAGCCCCGUAACCGACGCUUCAUCGAGCGUGAAAUCGAGUAGGGCGGGACACGUGAUAUCCUGUCUGAAUAUGGGGGGACCAUCCUCCAAGGCUAAAUACUCCUGACUGACCGAUAGUGAACCAGUACCGUGAGGGAAAGGCGAAAAGAACCCCUGUGAGGGGAGUGAAAUAGAACCUGAAACCGUGUACGUACAAGCAGUAGGAGCACCUUCGUGGUGUGACUGCGUACCUUUUGUAUAAUGGGUCAGCGACUUAUAUUCAGUGGCAAGGUUAACCGUAUAGGGGAGCCGUAGCGAAAGCGAGUCUUAACUGGGCGCUCAGUCUCUGGAUAUAGACCCGAAACCGGGUGAUCUAGCCAUGGGCAGGUUGAAGGUUGAGUAACAUCAACUGGAGGACCGAACCGACUAAUGUUGAAAAAUUAGCGGAUGACUUGUGGCUAGGGGUGAAAGGCCAAUCAAACUCGGAGAUAGCUGGUUCUCCCCGAAAGCUAUUUAGGUAGCGCCUCGGACGAAUACUACUGGGGGUAGAGCACUGUUAAGGCUAGGGGGUCAUCCCGACUUACCAACCCUUUGCAAACUCCGAAUACCAGUAAGUACUAUCCGGGAGACACACGGCGGGUGCUAACGUCCGUCGUGGAGAGGGAAACAACCCAGACCGCCAGCUAAGGUCCCAAAGUAUUGCUAAGUGGGAAACGAUGUGGGAAGGCUCAGACAGCUAGGAUGUUGGCUUAGAAGCAGCCAUCAUUUAAAGAAAGCGUAAUAGCUCACUAGUCGAGUCGGCCUGCGCGGAAGAUGUAACGGGGCUAAGCAAUACACCGAAGCUGCGGCAAU